rnacentral:rRNA from 1 species
GUCCUUUUGAUUAUAAUUUAAGGUCGGGCCUGCCCAAUGAGUGAUUUAAUGGCCGCAGUAUUUUGACUGUGCAAAGGUAGCAUAAUCAUUAGUUUUUUAAAUGGAAUCUUGUAUGAAAGGUUUGAUGAGAAAAAAGCUGUCUCUAUUUUAAUAGUAGAAUUUUAUUUUUAAGUUAAAAAGCUUAAAUGCAUAUAAAAGACGAUAAGACCCUAUAGAGUUUGAUAAACUAUUUAUGUUAAUUUUGAGGGAGUUAUGAGGUGUAAAUAAUUUAUUUAGUUGGGGUGACUAUAAAAUUAAAUGAACUUUUAUUUUUAUUUGACAUAGAUUUAUGGAAAAGGUAUGAUCCAAAAAUUUUGAUUAUAAGAUAAAAUUACCUUAGGGAUAACAGCGUAAUUUUUUUUGAGAGUUCAAAUCGAUAAAAAAGAUUGCGACCUCGAUGUUGGAUUAAAAUUAAUUUCUGGUGCAGAAGCUAGAAUAAUUUGGUCUGUUCGACCAUUAAAAUUUUACA